rnacentral:rRNA from 1 species
UGGGGAAUUUUGGACAAUGGGGGCAACCCUGAUCCAGCAAUGCCGCGUGAGUGAAGAAGGCCUUCGGGUUGUAAAGCUCUUUUGUCAGGGAAGAAACACCGGCUCUAACACAGUCCGGGAAUGACGGUACCUGAAGAAUAAGCACCGGCUAACUACGUGCCAGCAGCCGCGGUAAUACGUAGGGUGCGAGCGUUAAUCGGAAUUACUGGGCGUAAAGCGUGCGCAGGCGGGUAUACAAGACCGGCGGGG